rnacentral:rRNA from 1 species
UAGUCAUAUGCUUGUCUCAAAGAUUAAGCCAUGCAUGUCUAUGCACGAGCCGAUUAAUGGUGAAGCCGCGAAUGGCUCAUUACAACAGCCACUGUUUACUUGAUCUUGACUAUCCUACUUGGAUAACUGUGGUAAUUCUAGAGCUAAUACACGCAAUAAAGCUCCGACCUUACGGGACGAGCGCAUUUAUUAGACCAAAACCAAUCGGGCUUCGGCCUGAGCCGUUGGUGACUCUGAAUAACUGAGCUGAUCGCAUGGUCUUUGUACCGGCGACGCAUCUUUCAAGUGUCUGCCUUAUCAACUUUCGAUGGUAGUUUAUGUGCCUACCAUGGUUGUUACGGGUAACGGAGAAUAAGGGUUCGACUCCGGAGAGGGAGCCUGAGAAACGGCUACCUCAUCCAAGGAAGGCAGCAGGCGCGCAAAUUACCCACUCCUAGCACAGGGAGGUAGUGACGAAAAUAACGAUGCGAGGGCUAAUAGCUUCUCGUAAUCGGAAUGGGUACACUUUAAAUCCUUUAACGAGGAUCUAUUGGAGGGCAAGUCUGGUGCCAGCAGCC